rnacentral:rRNA from 1 species
UACAGAGGGGGCUAGCGUUAUUCGGAAUUAUUGGGCGUAAAGCGUGCGUAGGCGGUUUGGUAAGUCGACUGUGAAAGCCCAGAGCUUAACUUUGGAAUUGCAUUCGAAACUACUAAGCUAGAGUAUGGCGGGGGAUAGUGGAAUUCUUAGUGUAGGGGUGAAAUCCGUAGAUAUUAAGAGGAACACCAGUGGCGAAAGCGGCUAUCUACACCAUUACUGACGCUGAGGCACGAAAGCGUGGGGAGCAAACAGG